UUCAAGGCCCCCACAUUCGUCUUCAAAAAUGUCGCCCCGAGUACCAGCUGAUGAAAGGAGACGCAUCGUAGAGUUAAGCAUCCAAGGCUUUUCUCAGCGGGUCAUCUGCCGGCUCCUUCAAAGGUCAAGAAAUGCGGUGAGUCGUGCCAUCCAAGCGUACCGACAAACAGGGGGGAUCAGUGACAGAGACCGUGCUGGAAGGUCAAGAUGCACAGAUGACGAAGUGGACAGGCUAAUUAUCGCCGCCGUAGUAGCUGAUCCCCAUAUAUCAGCGAAAGGCAUGAAAGAUGCAUUGCAUCUCAACGCGUCCGUCUGGACUAUCCGUAGGAGGUUGGCAGAAGCAGGGCUUGCCAACUGCGUCGCGGCCCAGAAGCCCCACAUCACGGACAGGCAAAGAUCCAUGCGACUGCAGUUUGCGCGUUCUGUGUAGACAUGGGGAUCAGAAGAGUGGGGAGAAGUCGUGUUCAGCGAUGAAUCAACGUUUUCAAGUCGCUGGGAUCAGGAACGGCGAGUAUGGCGUCCAAUGAACUCGAGGUAUUCACCACAGUACACGCAGUCGGUCUUUGCCAGUGGCCGAUGCUCUGUGAGUGUCUGGGCCGCCAUGACCAGGGAAGGACUUGGACCACUGGUUCUUAUCGAUGGGAACCUUUCGGCCUCCACGUACUCCCUUAUAAUAGAGAGAGAAUUGCUUCCUUAUGUCUUGAAUGGGCCGUUCAAGGAUGGUUGUUUCGUGUACCAGCAUGACAGGAGCCCGAUUCACACUGCUCGCGGUGUGAAAUCUUUGCUUGAGGGCCUUGCUGUUCGCACAUUGGAAUGGCCACCUGUAGGAGCGGAUCUGAACCCCAUUGAAAACGUCUGGGGUCUCGUGAAACGCCGACUUGCGGCGCGGAAUCUUGGAAGUUCAACGAAGGAGACCCUAUUCGCGGCCAUACAGGAGGAGUGGGAAGCACUUCGUGCACGCCCCGAGAUCGUGGCCGCGCUUUACAAUUCGAUGCCAUCUCGUGUGGCGCAAGUGAUUGCCGCCGAUGGGCGUUUGAUUAAAUACUGAAAGUAGUGAUCCUUCCUGGAUAGCAGUUAUAGCUAUCGUUUUCUUUUUUUUCUGGCUUAUAAGAAUAAACUGUUUAUUUAUUGCG